GUGGGGUUUUGUAAUAGCUACUAAACAAUGUGUACUGGAGCAGGUUCAGUGCAGUAUUUUGGAGAUGGGACGAAACUCACAGUUCUAGAAAAGGAACCCCAAGUACCUAAAGUCUCCAUAUUUCAUCCAUCAGUGGAUGAGAUAAAAAAGAAAAAGAAAGCCACUCUGGUCUGUGUGGCAUAUGACUUCUAUCCAGAUCAUGUCAGCAUCACGUGGAUAAUCAAUGAAGACGAAGCAAAAGAAGGAGAGUUUAAAACUGAUGAUUACCCAGCUGAGAACAAUAAAAACUAUAGUAUGACCAGCCGUCUGAGAGUUUCAUCUUAUGAUUUUCUUAAUCCCCAAAAUUAUUUCCAAUGUGUUGUUAGUUUCACACUGAAAGAAGCAAAAUAUAUAAAAGAUGGCAUUUAUGGCAGAAAAGCCUGUGGAAUGACUCCAGAAUUAUAUCGUAAAGAAAGUAAUGCAGGGAAGUUUACGUACCUCCUGCUUCUGAGCAAAAGCGCUCUGUAUGGCUUCAUAAUUCUGAUGGUCAUAAUGUGGAAAGUAAAGGCUUCUUCAGACAAGAAUUAUAACUAGGCAUGUGGAACCCCUCUACAAACUGAAUGCGCAACAAAUUGCCUGUAAUAUUAUAUGUUAUUUUCUUACCUCAUGUGAAUAAUCUUAGAAUGUUUUUUCAUUAUGUUUUUGUGCAAUUUUUUUGACUAAAUGGUCGCUAUCAGAUAUAUAUUUUAAAAACUGUAUAUGUUUCUGCAUGUUUGUUUCUUUGUUUUUUUUCACAUUUCUGUUUAAGUGGAUCCAUAUCUUGAUUUUGUUAUGCUAAAAAACAAAUAAAAUUAUGUGAAUUUGUCUGAG